AUGGCGACGAACAGGGCCACUGUGAACAGGUUCAUGGCAAAGGAUACACAGGCGUACAGGUUUUGCAUCACGCUUUUGGAGGAGACGGCAUGGCGGAACCGGAGCUCGCUGACGACGCAGCCCGAGUCUCGCUUUUCCCUUCAUGACGCACAGAUUGCGACGAACAAGGCCACGGUGGACAGGUUUUGCGUCACACUCUUGGAGGGGACGGUGCGGCGGAACCGGAGCUCGCCGACAACGCAGCCCCCGCCUUUCCCAUCACGACGUACAGAUCCUUGGUGGAACCAAUAUCCGCAACGACGGGUCUAA
rnacentral:rRNA from 1 species